CCCGUUAGGGCAUAAAUUCAUCGUGCAUCAGGCUCCGCUCGUCUUCCUCGAUGCUUCAUCCUCUGCUGCUGCCUCACAGGAGGAAGAGAUUGAAGCGGUGUUCUCAUCCGUCCGACGAAGGUCUUCGUUCCUCUCUGAAAAUCCUCCAUCUCUUAUUUUCUAGUUCUCUUAUGCAGUCUGACGAAGCGGAACAAGAAGGACGGCACGAAGAGGAGGCACAAAUCAUCCUGUCGAUCUUCCGGAGACAACGAUAAGUUUAUUUUCUAUUUUUAUUAAAUUCCCAACUUCUGUCGCUCCUCACCAUUGAUUCCCCAUAGAAGCUUCUUUGUCGACUUCUUUCAUUUUCCACUAUGUCAUCUUUGUGAGAAGAUUCCAUCCCCUCUAAACGCGGUAAUCCUAUCCUUUGUUCCUUAUAUCCAGUAAGGUAACAGCUGAUUGGUCUCCUCAAAAAUCCGAACCCACACGUUUGUUGGCAUAAAGCCCAAUUUCUCUGUUCAAGGGACAGCAAUCCUCUGCAGAGUUGUAUAUUCUCUUGUGGAGUCUGUUGUUCUCAUUGUCUUUGGUGAAUCUGCCUCCAGACUGUUCGACGAUUUGGAAUUCCUGCUUUGCUGAUUUGGGGUUAAACCUUACCCUUGCUAUCGUUGAUCACAAGGUUUUGUGAAGUCAGUCUCUGGUUUGGCGUACCAAAACAAGUGGGGUUUUUCCAUUUCCUUUUUGGUGCUGCUUGUUGUAUUGGGUGGUGCUGGAUUUUGCGUAAUGGAGGAUGGGACUCCCGAAAGGUUUGUUCUUGGAAAGCAAUCAUCUCCUGCUCCAGAAUCUAAGAACAACGAAGUAUCAACAGAGACUGAAAUGUCUGACGAAAUUGAACCUCACUUUCUGUUGUAGUGAGCUUUUGAUUUCUCUAGGAUUAGUUUCAUAGGGAAAUGUUGUGAGAUGAUCAGUGGCCCAAUUUCAGACAGGUGAUGUAUGGUAAAUUGUAAUCAGUCAGAUUUAAUUGAGGAAACAGGAAGUUGUGGUUAGCAUUUAGCAGACUUUUCUCAGUGAUGGAGCUGUCGCUCUCCAAAGUCUGUAGAUCUGUAACAACAUUCUUGCUACACAAACCCAAUAAUUAAAAGAUCAAGCAGACCAAGUUGGGAUUUAGUCAACUGAUCUUCACCUUGAGAUGGUUUUGUUGGUUCACAGCAGCGGUGCAGGAUGUGACUGCUUUAAUUUUCAGCUUCCGCUUUUAAUUCUCAAUUUCUUUUUAUACUAUUACAUAUAAUCGGAUGAAUUCAUCCUUAUCCGUUCCUUUACUUAUAACCACAACCUUAACCUUUGUAUUAUUUUGUAUUCAUCUUCAUAUCCUCCCAGCUUGCCCACCAUUUCAAACGUUCCUACAAUCACUGCAAAAUAACAGCAGCUGCAGACAGGUGAUGUAUCGUAAAAUUUACCUGUAGUUGUUAGGUGUUGUUAAUUGAGGUGAGGCAAUGCCUGUGCUUUUUCGUCUAGAAAUUAUUUUGCCCGUGCUUGCAUUUGAAUUUUUCCCCCAUUAUCAGCACGUUGAAGAUGAAAAGAGAUGGGAGUCGGUCAAUUGCACUGCUGCUGCUGCUGACGCUUCUAGCACGAGCCAUUUGGCGUGGAACGUAGUAGAGGAAUCUUGUACUUUGGGCCUUUCUACAUUACUAGUGUGGUAUCUAUGUUCGUAGUUAGCUUCCUGUAGAUAUAUAUCUAUUCUCUGGAAUUUGUAUUCCAUCACAACGCCACAUUUUAGAGAUCUUUGUCUCCCUCUCUACAGAUUAUGUGCUGGUUGCAACAAUGAAAUAGGUCAUCACCGCUUCCUGAAUUGCAUGGGUUCACUUUGACAUCCAGAAUGUUUUCGCUAUUAUUAUUGCAAUCAGCCCAUAUAUGAAAUUUAUGGUGGUGGUAUUAUUAUUUC